rnacentral:rRNA from 1 species
UACAGAGGUCCCAAGCGUUGUUCGGAUUCACUGGGCGUAAAGGGUGCGUAGGCGGUUGGGUAAGUCUGAUGUGAAAUCUCACAGCUUAACUGUGAAACUGCAUUGGAUACUAUCCAACUCGAGGAAUGGAGGGGAGACUGGAAUACUUGGUGUAGCAGUGAAAUGCGCAGAUAUCAGGAGGAACACCCGUGGCGAAAGCGGCUCUCUGGGACGGUACUGACGCUGAGACGCGAAAGCGUGGGGAGCAAACAGG